AGUGAACGCUGGCGGUAGGCCUAACACAUGCAAGUCGAACGGCAGCACAGUAAGAGCUUGCUCUUACGGGUGGCGAGUGGCGGACGGGUGAGGAAUACAUCGGAAUCUACUUUUUCGUGGGGGAUAACGUAGGGAAACUUACGCUAAUACCGCAUACGACCUACGGGUGAAAGCAGGGGAACUUCGGACCUUGCGCGAUUGAAUGAGCCGAUGUCGGAUUAGCUAGUUGGCGGGGUAAAGGCCCACCAAGGCGACGAUCCGUAGCUGGUCUGAGAGGAUGAGCAGCCACACUAGAACUGAGACACGGUCCAGACUCCUACGGGAGGCAGCGGUGGGGAAUAUUGGACAAUGGGCGCAAGCCUAGUCCAACCAUGCCGCGUGGGUGAAAGAGGCCUUCGGGUUUUAAAGCCCUUUUGUUGUGAAAGAAAAGCAGCCGGUUAAAACCCCGCUGUUCUGACGGUACCCAAAGAAUAAGCACCGGCUAACUUCGUG
rnacentral:rRNA from 1 species